rnacentral:rRNA from 1 species
UUGAGAGUUUGAUCCUGGCUCAGAACGAACGCUGGCGGCAUGCCUAACACAUGCAAGUCGAGCGCAGUCCUUCGGGACCGAGCGGCGGACGGGUUAGUAACGCGUGGGAAUAUGCCCUUCUCUACGGAAUAGCCAUUGGAAACGAUGAGUAAUACCGUAUACGCCCUUUGGGGGAAAGAUUUAUCGGAGAAGGAUUAGCCCGCGUUAGAUUAGAUAGUUGGUGGGGUAAUGGCCUACCAAGUCUACGAUCUAUAGCUGGUUUUAGAGGAUGAUCAGCAACAUUGGGACUGAGACACGGCCCAGACUCCUACGGGAGGCAGCAGUGGGGAAUAUUGGACAAUGGGGGCAACCCUGAUCCAGCAAUGCCGCGUGUGUGAUGAAGGCCUUAGGGUUGUAAAGCACUUUCACUGGUGAAGAUGAUGACGGUAACCAGAGAAGAAGCCCCGGCUAACUUCGUGCCAGCAGCCGCGGUAAUACGAAGGGGGCGAGCGUUGUUCGGAAUUACUGGGCGUAAAGGGCGCG